GUGAUCUGCUGUCCUUUUCCAGUUGUGGUCUGUGUUUCCUGGCUAUGGGAGAAACAUCAUCACCUAUUCAGAGAAUAUAUGGCUUCCUGGAAUACCUUCCCACAGCCUGCAAGAUGUUUUCACCUAUCUGGUGCUGUUGCUGAGUUUCCAAAAGACCAUUCCACUUUUCUAUCAAGCCAGCUGCUUCAGGAUGGUAAAACCAGUGAAUUCCAUGGGCAUGUACCCACUGCUGCAUUUUAUCUCCAUGAGAAAAUUGGACAGAUACAUGCAAACAAUGACUAGACCACCAAUUUACACCAUACACAAG